rnacentral:lncRNA from 7 species
UAGCGUGUUUGAUUCGAUGCAUCUAAGAGGCUGACCGUGCAAGAACUAAUGUAGCAUAGGCUUAUUUGACUGUACCUGCACAUACGCAUGAAACGGUCGUAUCUGGUGGACAAGGCUUGCACGAGCCUAGCUGUACGCGCACAACCAUCCAACCACGUAAUCCAAUCACGCAGUAUAGGGACGUUUCCGAGACCAUGAAUCAGUUUUACAAGGAUAAGAGUACAAGAGAUAGUUAAAGAACUGUACAAUAUAAUUCUAUUUCUUUAAGUUAUGUACAAAUAAUUAUUUGGAA